UACGGAGGGGACUAGCGUUGUUCAGAAUUACUGGGCGUAAAGCGCACGUAGGCGGAUUUGUAAGUCAGGGGUGAAAUCCCGGGGCUCAACCUCGGAACUGCCUUUGAUACUGCAAAUCUCGAGUCCGGAAGAGGUGAGUGGAAUUCCUAGUGUAGAGGUGAAAUUCGUAGAUAUUAGGAAGAACACCAGUGGCGAAGGCGGCUCACUGGCCUGGUAUUGACGCUGAGGUGCGAAAGCGUGGGGAGCAAACAGG
rnacentral:rRNA from 1 species